AUUGAACGCUGGCGGCAGGCCUAACACAUGCAAGUCGAGCGGAGCGGCGGACGGGUGAGUAAGGCCUAGGAAUCUGCCUGGUCGUGGGGGAUAACGUCAGGAAACGGGCGCUAAUACCGCAUACUAUCAGAUGAGCCUCGGUCGGAUUGGCUAGUUGGUGGGGUAAAGGCCUACCAAGGCGACGAUCCGUAGCUGGUCUGAGAGGAUGAUCAGUCACACUGGAACUGAGACACGGCCCAGACUCCUACGGGAGGCAGCAGUGGGGAAUAUUGGACAAUGGGCGCAAGCCUGAUGCAGCCAUGCCGCGUGUGUGAAGAAGGUCUUCGGAUUGUAAAGCACUUUCAGUCGGGAGGCGUUACCAACAGAAGAAGCACCGGCUAACUCCGUGCCAGCAGCCGCGGUAAUUC
rnacentral:rRNA from 1 species